GACGAACGCUGGCGGCGUGCCUAAUACAUGCAAGUUGAGCGCUGACGGUUGGUACUUGUACCAACUGGAUGAGCAGCGAACGGGUGAGUAACGCGUGGGGAAUCUGCCUUUGAGCGGGGGACAACAUUUGGAAACGAAUGCUAAUACCGCAUAAAACCUUUAAACACAAGUUUUAAGUUUGAAAGAUGCAAUUGCAUCACUCAAAGAUGAUCCCGCGUUGUAUUAGCUAGUUGGUGAGGUAAAGGCUCACCAAGGCGAUGAUACAUAGCCGACCUGAGAGGGUGAUCGGCCACAUUGGGACUGAGACACGGCCCAAACUCCUACGGGAGGCAGCAGUAGGGAAUCUUCGGCAAUGGACGAAAGUCUGACCGAGCAACGCCGCGUGAGUGAAGAAGGUUUUCGGAUCGUAAAACUCUGUUGGUAGAGAAGAACGUUGGUGAGAGUGGAAAGCUCAUCAAGUGACGGUAACUACCCAGAAAGGGACGGCUAACUACGUG
rnacentral:rRNA from 1 species